AUUGAACGCUGGCGGCAGGCCUAACACAUGCAAGUCGAGCGGAGCGGCGGACGGGUGAGUAAUGCCUAGGAAUCUGCCUGGUCGUGGGGGAUAACGUCCGCAAACGGGCGCUAAUACCGCAUACUAUCAGAUGAGCCUAGGUCGGGUUAGAUAGGUGGUGGGGUAAAGGCCUACCAAGGCGACGAUCCGUCACUGGUCUGAGAGGAUGAUCAGUAACACUGGAACGGAGAAACGGUCCAGACUCCUACGGGAGGCAGCAGGGGGGAAUAUUGGACAAUGGGCGAAAGCCUGAUCCAGCCAUGCCGCGUGUGUGAAGAAGGUCUUCGGAUUGUAAAGCACUUUAAGAUGGGAGGCGUUACCAACAGAAUAAGCACCGGCUAACUUCGUGCCAGCAGCCGCGGUAAUUG
rnacentral:rRNA from 1 species